CGCAUCUGUGCAUGCAGCAUAUCAAUAAGCGGAGGAAAAGAAACUAACAAGGAUUCCCCUAGUAACGGCGAGUGAAGCGGGAAGAGCUCAAAUUUGAGAUCUUAAAGGGUUUCCCUUUACGAAUUGUAGUUUAAAGAAGUGUUUUCUGUUGAGGUUUUGGUAAAAGUUCUUUGGAAUAGGACAUCAUAGAGGGUGAGAAUCCCGUAUUUGACCUUUACUUUCAACUUUGUGAUACACUUUCAAAGAGUCGGAUUGUUUGGGAAUGCAGUCCAAAAUGGGUGGUAAAUUUCAUCUAAAGCUAAAUAUUGGCGAGAGACCGAUAGCGAACAAGUACCGUGAGGGAAAGAUGAAAAGAACUUUGAAAAGAGAGUUAAACAGUACGUGAAAUUGUCAAAAGGGAAGCGUUUGACACCAGUGUUGUUUUUCUGAAAAUCAAUUAAAGAACUGUUUAUGCUAAGUUGUUUAGACUUUAUCAGCUAUCUGUUUAGUUUUGAGCUUUUCUUUAAUGCACUUUUCAGUUAACAAGUCAACAUCAAUUUCUUUUGCUGUAAAAAAGCUUGAGGAAGGUGGCUUGAGAUUCGUCUUAAGUGUUUAUAGCCUCUUGCCUAUGCAGUCGGAGAGAUUGAGGUCUGCAGCGUAGAUCCUUCGGGGCUAAAUGCAUUUGUGCUAAGUUAUAGCAUUUUAUAGACAACUUGUUGACUAUGAUUUGUCUUGUAGCUUACUCGCUUAUGUUAUUUUACCUACGCUUAGGAUGUUGAAUCUGUGCGAGACUAC
rnacentral:rRNA from 1 species